GAUGAACGCUGGCGGCGUGCCUAAUACAUGCAAGUCGAGCGAACAGACGAGGAGCUUGCUCCUCUGACGUUAGCGGCGGACGGGUGAGUAACACGUGGAUAACCUACCUAUAAGACUGGGAUAACUUCGGGAAACCGGAGCUAAUACCGGAUAAUAUAUUGAACCGCAUGGUUCAAUAGUGAAAGACGGUUUUGCUGUCACUUAUAGAUGGAUCCGCGCCGCAUUAGCUAGUUGGUAAGGUAACGGCUUACCAAGGCAACGAUGUGUAGCCGACCUGAGAGGGUGAUCGGCCACACUGGAACUGAGACGCGGUCCAGACUCCUACGGGAGGCAGCAGUAGGGAAUCUUCCGCAAUGGGCGAAAGCCUGACGGAGCAACGCCGCGUGAGUGAUGAAGGUCUUCGGAUCGUAAAACUCUGUUAUUAGGGAAGAACAAAUGUGUAAGUAACUAUGCACGUCUUGACGGUACCUAAUCAGAAAGCCACGGCUAACUACGUG
rnacentral:rRNA from 1 species